rnacentral:rRNA from 1 species
UACAGAGGUCUCAAGCGUUUGUUCGGAUUCAUUGGGCGUAAAGGGUGCGUAGGCGGCGCGGUAAGUCGGGUGUGAAAUCUUCGGAGCUUAACUCCGAAACUGCAUUCGAUACUGCCGUGCUUGAGGACUGGAGAGGAGACUGGAAUUUACGGUGUAGCGGUGAAAUGCGUAGAUAUCGUAAGGAAGACCAGUGGCGAAGGCGGGUCUCUGGACAGUUCCUGACGCUGAGGCACGAAGGCCAGGGGAGCAAACGGG